rnacentral:rRNA from 1 species
AGUGAACGCUGGCGGUAGGCCUAACACAUGCAAGUCGAACGGCAGCACAGUAAGAGCUUGCUCUUACGGGUGGCGAGUGGCGGACGGGUGAGGAAUACAUCGGAAUCUACUUUUUCGUGGGGGAUAACGUAGGGAAACUUACGCUAAUACCGCAUACGACCUACGGGUGAAAGCAGGGGAUCUUCGGACCUUGCGCGAUUGAAUGAGCCGAUGUCAGAUUAGCUAGUUGGCGGGGUAAGGGCCCACCAAGGCGACGAUCCGUAGCUGGUCUGAGAGGAUGAUCAGCCACACUGGAACUGAGACACGGUCCAGACUCCUACGGGAGGCAGCAGUGGGGAAUAUUGGACAAUGGGCGCAAGCCUGAUCCAGCCAUACCGCGUGGGUGAAGAAGGCCUUCGGGCUGUAAAGCCCUUUUGUUGGGAAAGAAAAGCAGCAGGUUUAUACCCCGCUGUUCUGACGGUACCCAAAGAAUAAGCACCGGCUAACUUCGUG